ACACAUGCAAGUCGAACGGUAACAGGGUCUUCGGAUGCUGACGAGUGGCGAACGGGUGAGUAAUACAUCGGAACGUGCCCGAGUCGUGGGGGAUAACGGAGCGAAAGCUUUGCUAAUACCGCAUACGAUCUACGGAUGAAAGCGGGGGAUCUUCGGACCUCGCGCGGACGGAGCGGCCGAUGGCAGAUUAGGUAGUUGGUGGGAUAAAAGCUUACCAAGCCGACGAUCUGUAGCUGGUCUGAGAGGAUGAUCAGCCACACUGGGACUGAGACACGGCCCAGACUCCUACGGGAGGCAGCAGUGGGGAAUUUUGGACAAUGGGGGCAACCCUGAUCCAGCCAUGCCGCGUGCAGGAUGAAGGCCUUCGGGUUGUAAACUGCUUUUGUACGGAACGAAAAGACUCUGGUUAAUACCUGGGGUCCAUGACGGUACCGUAAGAAUAAGCACCGGCUAACUACGUGCCAGCAGCCGCGGUAAUACGUAGGGUGCGAGCGUUAAUCGGAAUUACUGGGCGU
rnacentral:rRNA from 1 species